CCAGUCUCCUAGCAACCAGCAGCCGCCGCGAUGUCCCUCGGAGACCCCGGCCGCAGUUGGACUCCCGGGCAUCCCCGGCUCCGCUCCACCUUGAGAGGGUCUGAUUCAGCCCUAAAGAGGAUUCUGUCCUACAGAGGUGUUGUUGGAGCUAUGGUGAUAAGGGCAGAUGGCAUUCCAAUUAAAACAAGCCUAAAUAACGCUACAACAGCUUCAAUAUGCAAGGCAUCUUCAACACCUUAUAGAACUAGCAGGAUAUGCUGUGAAAGAAUUUAAUCCUCAAGAUGCCCUAACCCUUCUAAGGAUUAAAACAGAGAAAUAUGAAAUCCUGGUGAUCCCAGCCAAGGAAUAUCUUCUUGCCGUUCUUCAGGAUCCAUACGAAUAGACCUUCUGCUGUCUAUUCUGAUCUUGCAUUUUUGAAACUAUACUUUGAUAAAGGCUCAAGUUUUCAAUGUGGGCCUUACUGAAUUUACUAGUAUAUUGAGAUUGUCUUUACUAAAAUUGUCUCUAGCACAGCUUCUUAGUUUUUGUUUCUGGUUGUAUUUUAGAACUAAGCUUUAGCAAGAUAGAAUAAAAUCUGAUGUGACUCACCAAGUUUAAUGACUAAUGUAAUAAAAAUGAAUCUGUGAAAAAUGCUCCC